GGGGGGGAAGAGUGGGUCAGAAAAUACUUUUACAAUUUGAAAACCCCCCAAAAUCAAGGGCGUCCUAUUUUUCCAGUGCCUAUUACUGUAAACAUGACAACUAUAAAGGAAACAACUGCAGUCUGUACAUCCUGAUAUUUCACAGACAGUUUUAUGAGUGACUCAAAUUAAAAAGCGUGGCAUUGCUUAUUCAUUCCACUGUCAAUAUCUUAAAGUAUUCUACACUCAGUUCUGAGAUUAAUGUGAUAAGCUGUGACUCUUCCUGUUAUUUCUUCCAGUGCUUUUUUCUCUCUUUUAAUCUGAAAUACAUCUGUUUUGUCUUAUUUUUGUACUGAGAGCCGUUUAAAGGCUUUGAAGAUAAAGGAAUAUUUUGCACCAGCACUCAUUGGAGUUCAGGAGUAUUCUGGAAAAUAAUUAUUUAUAGAAAACCAACUGAUUUUUUUUUUCAGAAAGAUCAAAGUGCUUUCAGAGACCUGCAAUAGUAUCGCAUUCUUUCGAUUACGUGAGUGCAGCUGUGCUGAAGACCUGGAGCAGCAGUGAUGGCGCAUGCACUGCAGCUACUCCCUUCCCUAUUCUCAUAGGAAGCUCCUGUAUUGAGAUGAAGCAGAAGCUCUUUCCAUGCUUGAAUGGGAAGACGCAGGGAAGCAAGACCUCCUGCUUCAACUCUGCUGCCAAAGAGAAGAAUUAUCUUGCCUGUUGGCUGGAACUAUCUUCGCCUGAGACAUCUCUAGUGUUAAAAUAUUAUUCAUGAAAUACUCACGUAAGUGUUAAUGUGUUCAGCCUCAAAGAACCCCAUUUUUUUAAUAUGGAAAUGCGUACCUGAGCUACCUCAUGCAAAAUGCAUCAUGUUUACAUGAUAAGAGUCUGUCUGACCCACAGAGAUGUCAUGUCUGUGGUAACAAUGACAGAAAGUGUGCAAGAACUGAGUUGGAGAGGAAUGGGUGGCAUGGAAUGCCCUAGCAGGGAGGAGGUAAUGCAUGGGAAAAGGGUGUGUGAAGUCCCUCUGCACUUGAGGGUUUGAACUAAUUGCAUAGAGGAAGGAAAGGGCUGAGGCAUCACCAGUGGCAUCUGCCCUUGGUAUUAAAAAGCGGAAAGGAGGUCCUAAGAGAAGGAGGCUGCCCAGAUAACAGGAUAAAUAAUAGGAAAAUCAGCUUUAUACCUUUGUGUAAACAGAGGUUAAGAAAUAAAUGAUAGACUCAAUUACAAACGUUAUCUAUAUCUGGUUUCCUUGGGUAUGUGAAUGAGCAAAGUCUCAGCCUGCAUUUUUCCCCAUGGGACUCUCCCUCAUUCAAAGACUAGAUGUAGAUAGCACGCCAAGUUUUGUUUUUUUAAGAUGUGGUUUUCAGUCAUUUCCACUGCCCCCAAUGCUUUUAAAGCCCAUGCUUUCCAGUCCCCUGUUCCUCCUCUCCUUCCACUUCCUCCUCCCUCCUCUUCCUAUCAAGGGCAAACACAGAUAGGUGUUUGCUGUGCUACUGUGAAGGACCUGAGGAAAUGAGUAAUGUGCAAUCAGACUGAGAGGGCUUCCUACCUUUGUCUUCUCUUUCUUAAUGGAGCAUGAGCGACCAUGGAACAAGUUGGAGAUUUUAUUAUGAUGCAGAAAUGGUAUUUCUUGCUAACCAAACAGCCCAAUAUGCCCUAUCCUUUCCCUCAAGUUCUUGUUUGUUCCUUAACCAAGGUAACCACUCCUAAAAUAACAGCUAGCUGAUUUCACGGGCUGAGUGCUGAUGGGUUUGGAAAAAAACCUGCGAGUUUAAAAAGUAACUUUUUCAAAUGAAUUAAUAAAGUGUCUAUUCAGAUAGAGGCAAAAUGAAUUCCUACAAUCUUUCAGAAAUAUUUUUAUACUUAAUGACCUAAAAGCUGGAACUGGAGGGG